AUAUAUUAAAAUUAUUAAAAAUUAAAAUUCACGAAAUUAGACGAGCUAAAAAUUUAUGUUUAUUAGAAUUAAAGAACAACUGUAACAUUAGUUGUUUAUUAUAGAUUUUUAGGAGUGAAAGGCUUCUCAAGUCUAAUGAUAGCUUGAUAAUUAGAAAAUAUAUUUAGUAUAAUAUCAAAUUAAAAAUGUUAAGGUUUUUAAUUUUUAUAAUUUUUUUUGAUAAUAAAUAUUUAAUUGGUUAAUACUUUAAAUGUGAAUAACAUAAUAUUUAUUAAAAUUUUAAUGUAUUAAAUACUAAUUAUUUUAAAAUAAUUUUAUAUUAAGUUUUUAAUGUAUAUAUUAGUAUAUUUUUAUUUUAAAAAAAGGAACUCGACAAAAAACCUUCUCAUCUGUUUACCAAAAACAAGCUCUAAGAGAGCAUUUAGAGUAUUUUCUGCUCAAUGGUUCACUAAAUAGCCGCAGUAUCUUGACUGUGCAAAGGUAGCAUAAUCAAUUGGCUUAUAAUUGAAGUCUAGUAUGAAUGGAAUAAUGGGGAGUCAUUGUCUUUAUUUAAUAUUUUAAACUUUCUAAUUAAGUGAAAAUUCUUAAGAAUAUAUAAAAGACGAGAAGACCCUAGAAAUUUUUAUAAAUUUAUUAAUCAAUUAUUUUGUUGGGGCGACAAAGUAACAAAUAACUUACUUUAAAUAUUAGAAACUAAUUAGUAGUAUAAAUAAAUUACUCUAGGGAUAACAGCAUAAUUUUUUUUUAAAGAUUGUGACCUCGAUGUUGGACUAGGAAAUUUUUUUUUCAGAAGAAAAAAACAUUUGCUCUGUUCGAGCAAUUUUUCCUACAUGAUCUGAGUUCAGACCGG
rnacentral:rRNA from 1 species